rnacentral:rRNA from 1 species
UUUUCUGUAGCAAUACAGGAGGCGGGCGCGUGGCGAACGGGUGCGUAACACGUGGAUAACCUUCCUUCAGGUGGGGAAUAACCCCGCGAAAGCGGGGCUAAUACCGCAUAACAUGACGAUGGCACAUGCCGUUGUCUUCAAAGCCGCAAGGCGCCAGAAGAGGGAUCCGCGGCCGAUUAGCUUGUUGGCGAGGUAAUGGCUCACCAAGGCAUUGAUCGGUAGCCGGACUGAGAGGUUGGCCGGCCACACUGGAACUGAGACACGGUCCAGACUCCUACGGGAGGCAGCAGUGGGGAAUCUUGCGCAAUGGGCGAAAGCCUGACGCAGCAACGCCGCGUGGGGGAUGAAGCUUCUCGGAGUGUAAACCCCUUUCGGCCCGGACGAAUGCCCGCAAGGGCUUGACGGUACGGGUAUAAGAAGCCCCGGCUAACUACGUGCCAGCAGCCGCGGUAAAACGUAGGGGGCCAGCGUUGCUCGGAAUUACUGGGCGUAAAGGGUCCGUAGGCGGUGUGGCAAGUCGGAAGUGAAAUCUCUGGGCUUAACCCAGAGGCUGCUUCCGAAACUGCUGUGCUAGAGUGCGAGAGAGGCGAGUGGAAUUGC